rnacentral:rRNA from 1 species
UACGAAGGGGGCUAGCGUUGCUCGGAAUUACUGGGCGUAAAGCGAACGUAGGCGGUGUUCCAUGUCAGAGGUGAAAGCCUGGGGCUCAACUCCAGAAUUGCCUUUGAAACGGGGACGCUUGAGUCCGAGAGAGGGUGGCGGAAUUCCUAGUGUAGAGGUGAAAUUCGUAGAUAUUAGGAAGAACACCAGUGGCGAAGGCGGCCACCUGGCUCGGUACUGACGCUCAGGUUCGAAAGCGUGGGGAGCAAACAGG